rnacentral:rRNA from 1 species
UACAGAGGUGGCAAGCGUUGUUCGGAAUUACUGGGCGUAAAGCGUGCGCAGGCGGUCUUGUAAGCCAGAUGUGAAAGCCCCGGGCUCAACCUGGGAACUGCAUUUGGGACUGCAAGGCUGGAGUACGGCAGAGGGAGGUGGAAUUCCACGUGUAGCAGUGAAAUGCGUAGAGAUGUGGAGGAACACCGAUGGCGAAGGCAGCCUCCUGGGCUAGUACUGACGCUCAUGCACGAAAGCGUGGGGAGCAAACAGG